rnacentral:lncRNA from 1 species
UCUCGUUGGCGCUGCUGGUACGUGGUAUCAUCCUGUGUACAAACCGUGUUUGACGUGACGUAGCUUCCCGCUCAAAAAAAAAAAGAAUUGGUUGUUCGCAUGUCAUCUUGUAACCUUCGAUAUAAUUGUGUUAUUCAUUUCUUAUCAAACAUCGGUUGUUGUGAAUAUCCAAGAGAAUGAUCAGUACAGUGCAAAUUGCGUCCAGCUACUUAACGUUAACAAAUGUGAUAAAUUAAUCCUACAGUAACUUGCAUUGAGCAUCCCUAGAACAUGUACAUCAAAUUGGUUGUCUUGUGGAACAAUUUGUAAACAAUUGAUACUGACUGAUGUGACGAAUAUCCAAAAUAUCUAAUUUGGGUAGGAAACGUCUUGUUCUAUCCACACAACCCACGUUUUUUGCACAUUGAAUUAGUCGUCAUUCGAUGGUACUUGUGAAACAUUCGGAUUAGUCAAUUCUGCCACCAAAUUGCAAUGUAACGGAAAAAUAGCUGCAUGUAAUGGUUGAUAUUUCAUGAAGUAGCUGGUUGGCAUGAACAGAAGAACAUGUACCACUUCUAGGCGUACAAGUGGAUUGGCAGUUGUGCCUUAGUUACGAUGGACACACGCGUACCGCGUUUCUCUUCCGCGGUUUUUUCAUAUCAUCAUUGUGGUAUAUUACGCAAACCACACUCGGAGGCCGACAUCAAUGGUGCGUCCCGAAAUGAGGACGCGUCAGAACUUAUAUAAGAUGCGGCUCGAAAGGAAAAAUGCUCAAAUCUAAUAAGAAUAACAAAUAAACCAAAUGGUCUCUAAAAUACCAAUACGCCGCGUUAUCAUUCGUUCGCGGAACCCAUUCUUAUAAUUAUGCUAAAACAUGAUAAGCUUUCAUAAUUAUAUACCUAGAACUGAUUUCCGGCGGUUAUUACAAUGAAUAACGGUGGAAUGUAUUAUACGUAUAUUGAGACAAAUGCCCAUUUAUCUUUCCAUAAUAAAAGGGUAUUUCGUCAGACCCAACGCGAAUUUGGCGGAUUCAAAUUCGCGAUGCUCUGACCUCUAAUAAAAAAGGGAACCCAAUCUAACAAUUGUGGCGGUCUUGCAGCUGAGGAAUGUCCGCUCCCCGGUGCAAAUUAAACCGUUGCUUUAAUUUAAUGUACUCACUUCCUCACGGGUGUAUUAGCGAAAGUUUUUAACUAAAGUACAAGCUCGGCCAAUUGAAUAUUCUUUCUUUACUCACAAUCUCUGGUUCUGGCGGGCAACGUAAGGUCGAUGACAAUUUUCAGUUAGACUAUUGAACAGCACACUUAAUUUUAUUAAACAUAAUGUGUUACUCUAUCAGCUACUUUGAGGAAUUUGUGCAAUUAAAAUUAAUGAAUAAUACAAUAACGAAUUAAUAAUUUUAGAAUAAUACAAAGUGCUUAUAUAGCGAGUUAAUCGCAGGCUUAGUGGUAAUGAUAAUGAUCCCUCGUACCGACGCUUCAUCAUAUACAUAUAUAUCCCGAUCCCGUGUUGUCCAACGGGAGGUUCUAAUCGUCGGUGACCGGCGAUACCCGAGAGGUCAUAAAGCAUGGUUCCGCUGACCUAUCGAUUCUUAUGGAGACUUGACCGACAGGUGAGUUGGGGGUCAUUACGGCUGUUGAUCAUACGGGUUUUUUUUUUUUGGGUAGUUGUUCGGAGGCUGGAAACGACUGGACAAUUUGUAUUGUCUCAAUAUGUUAAAGUAUAUUUGUUUACAUUGUAAUAUGCGGAUAGUGGUUACACCGCAGGAUUUACGAAUGACGAUCUUUUGAAAUUUCAAAACAUUUUAUUCACUACGAACAGAAUGCAACAUGAGAUUUUAAACAAUUAUAGGAAUAACUUAAAUCUUUGCUUGUACAGAUAUACAACAGAUGUAUGUAUACUAUCAUAAUCUAUAUUACAAUAUAAUUACAUAGGUAUAUGGUACGGUAUAUAAUCCAACAACGUGUGACAAAAAUCAGACAUAUUGUUCUUUAUUUUAUACGUGUUUGUAUAAAAUUAUUUCCAAGCAAGCUGACCAUCAAAAUGCGUGAAUUAACAGUUCCUCCAGACUGGAUAAUGUUUCAGCCUGAAUACUCUAACUACCUACGAAUGAUAGCUUUACUAUAAUAAUUAUGUUAGAGUAGAACUCUACAUACAAGAUGAUCUAAAAAGGAGCCCGCUACUCCCGAGAAAACUUGGCACCAUCUUUACUGGUAAUGAAAUAAUCUGCGCUACCAGACAGAACGAAAGUCUAGCAGGAGAACGACAGAGCCAGUCAACAAUCCGCAAGCUUGACAAAGACACAAGACGGCUAACACAACCGCCGAAGACGGAAUGUGACCGGAGUUGAGUCUGUCCAAAGCCAACCUAACUUAGCAUUACUUGACCUAUCUAACCUACAAGAACGACAACGUAACGUGCGAGGUUUUAUAUUGAACACGUCAAAUAUAUACAUAUAAAAUAGAAAAUACAAAUGGAACGUGUAGCGUGACGUGAACGCCACAAUGGUACUAAUGUAUUGUAUACGCAUACUGAGUAGUAUGCAAAGUACGGACUAAAUGAUAUGAAACAGUGUAGUCGUAGGAAAAUGGCUCGUGUACAUUCUCAAGCUUCGUGCCAAAUGCCACUCUUGGCUGAAGACAUGAAUUUUUUCGGUAAGGCCUUGAAUCAAAAGAAAUUAAAUUUAAUCCACUAGUACUCGAUUCAAGAAUUUCACUAUUUGGUUGCCACCAGGGGCAGGCGAGUGACACUAUAAUACCAGUUCAUAACAAAAACUCGAGAAAGUAUAACUGGUAAGUUUUUACUUGUA